rnacentral:rRNA from 1 species
UACGUAGGUCCCGAGCGUUGUCCGGAUUUAUUGGGCGUAAAGCGAGCGCAGGUGGUUUAUUAAGUCUGGUGUAAAAGGCAGUGGCUCAACCAUUGUAUGCAUUGGAAACUGGUAGACUUGAGUGCAGGAGAGGAGAGUGGAAUUCCAUGUGUAGCGGUGAAAUGCGUAGAUAUAUGGAGGAACACCGGUGGCGAAAGCGGCUCUCUGGCCUGUAACUGACACUAAGGCUCGAAAGCGUGGGGAGCAAACAGG